AUGUGCAAGGCUGAUGACAAAUAUCUGACGCAUGGAUUGAAGGAAAAGAAACAAGUUGUCCUUGUCGUCUCCACAAUGCAACCGAUGAUAUCGACAUCAAAACUCUACACUAUUAAACUGUCAACAGCAACGCAAGCCUCUUCCCCACACGACCCAGUCACUUCUGCCCAGUUACAUUUCAUAAGCACCACCGCCAAGCCCGCCGAAGUUCUUCGAUCCGCCACAACAAAAUCCUUGAGAUGGUAA
rnacentral:lncRNA from 1 species